rnacentral:rRNA from 1 species
GAUGAACGCUGGCGGCGUGCCUAACACAUGCAAGUCGAGCGAACAGACGAGGAGCUUGAUCCUCUGACGUUAGCGGCGGACGGGUGAGUAACACGUGGAUAACCUACCUAUAAGACUGGGAUAACUUCGGGAAACCGGAGAUAAUACCGGAUAAUAUAUUGAACCGCAUGGUUCAAUAGUGAAAGACGGUUUUGCUGUCACUUAUAGAUGGAUCCGCGCCGCAUUAGCUAGUUGGUAAGGUAACGGCUUACCAAGGCAACGAUGCGUAGCCGACCUGAGAGGGUGAGCGUCCGCACUGGCACUGAGACACGGACCAGACUCCUACGGUUGGCAGCAGGCGGGAAGCUUCCACAAAGGGCGAAAGCCUGACGAAGCAACGCCGCGCGAGUGACGAAGGCCUGCUGAUCGUAAAACUCUGUCACUAGGUAAGAACAAAUGUCUUAAUAUCCAGGCGCGUCAUGACGGUACCUCAUCAAAAAGCCACGGCUAACUACGUG